rnacentral:rRNA from 1 species
ACGAACGCUGGCGGCAGGCUUAACACAUGCAAGUCGAGCGAGACCUUCGGGUCUAGCGGCGGACGGGUGAGUAACGCGUGGGAACGUGCCCUUCUCUACGGAAUAGCCCCGGGAAACUGGGAGUAAUACCGUAUACGCCCUUUGGGGGAAAGAUUUAUCGGAGACGGAUCGGCCCGCGUUGGAUUAGGUAGUUGGUGGGGUAAUGGCCCACCAAGCCGACGAUCCAUAGCUGGUUUGAGAGGAUGAUCAGCCACACUGGGACUGAGACACGGCCCAGACUCCUACGGGAGGCAGCAGUGGGGAAUCUUAGACAAUGGGGGCAACCCUGAUCUAGCCAUGCCGCGUGAGUGAUGAAGGCCUUAGGGUUGUAAAGCUCUUUCAGCUGGGAAGAUAAUGACGGUACCAGCAGAAGAAGCCCCGGCUAACUCCGU